UAGCUGGCGGCUGCGGCGGCGGAGCUGCGGGGCCGGGAGCCGGCGCGGGGCUCUGGGUAAGCGAAGCGCCGCGCAGUGCUGAGCCCGCCGCCCGCCGGGAGCCAUGGAAAUCGGCACCGAGAUCAGCCGCAAGAUCCGGAGUGCCAUUAAGGGGAAAUUGCAAGAAUUAGGAGCUUAUGUUGAUGAAGAACUUCCUGAUUACAUUAUGGUGAUGGUGGCCAACAAGAAAAGUCAGGACCAAAUGACAGAGGACCUGUCCCUGUUUCUAGGGAACAACACAAUUCGAUUCACCGUAUGGCUUCAUGGUGUGUUAGAUAAACUUCGCUCUGUUACAACUGACCCUUCCAGUCUUAAGUCUUCUGAUACUAACAUCUUUGAUAAUAACGUGUCUUCAAACAAGAGCUGUUUCAGUCGGGGAGAUGAGAGAAGGCAUGAAGCUGCAGUGCCACCUCUUGCGGUUGCUAGCAGUAGACCUGAAAAAAGAGAUUCCAGGGUUUCUACUAGUUCACAGGAGCAAAAAACCACUACUGUCAGACAGACUUAUGAUGAUGGAGCUGCAACCCGAUUAAUGUCAACUGUGAAGCCUCUGAGGGAGCCAGCACCCUCUGAAGAUGUGAUUGAUAUUAAGCCAGAACCAGAUGAUCUCAUUGAUGAAGACCUCAAUUUUGUGCAGGAGAAUCCUUUAUCUCAGAAAAAACCUACAGUGACACUUGCAUAUGGUUCUUCUCGCCCUUCUAUUGAAAUUUAUCGACCACCUGCAAGUCGAAAUGCAGAUAGUGGUGCUCAUUUAAACAGGUUGCAAUUUCAGCAGCAGCCAAACAGUAUUCAUGCUGCCAAGCAACCUGAUAUACAGAACAGCCGGGUAUAUGAAACAGGACGUUUGUGUGAACCGGAAAUGCUUAACAGCUUGGAAGAGACUUACAGUCCUUUUUUCAGAAACAACUCAGAAAAAAUGAGUAUUGAGGAAGAAAACUUUCGGAAGAGAAAGUUGCCUGUGGUAAGUUCAGUUGUUAAAGUAAAAAAAUUCAAUCAUGAUGGAGAAGAGGAGGAGGAAGAUGAUGACUGUGGGUCUCGUACAGGAAGCAUCUCCAGCAGUGUGUCAGUGCCAGCAAAGCCUGAAAGGAGACCUUCACUUCCACCUUCUAAACAAGCUAACAAGAAUCUAAUUUUGAAGGCUAUAUCUGAAGCUCAAGAAUCUGUAACAAAAACAACUAACUAUUCUACAGUCUCACAGAAACAGACACUUCCAGUUGCUCCCAGAACUCGAACUUCUCAAGAAGAAUUGCUGGCAGAAAUGGUCCAGGGGCAAAGCAGGACCCCCAGAAUAAGUACCCCCAUUAAAGAAGAGGAAACAAAGGGAGAUAAUAUAGAAAAAAGCCAAGGAACUCAGCAGAGGCAGUUGUUAUCCCGACUGCAAAUUGACCCAGUAAUGGCAGAAACUCUACAGAUCGGUCAAGAUUACUAUGACAUGGAAUCCAUGGUCCAUGCAGACACGAGAUCAUUUAUUCUGAAGAAGCCAAAGCUGUCUGAGGAAGUAGUAGUGGCACCAAACCAAGAGUCGGGGAUGAAGACUGCAGAUACCCUUCGGGUACUUUCAGGACACCUUAUGCAGACACGAGAUCUUGUACAACCAGAUAAACCUGCAAGUCCCAAGUUUAUAGUGACGCUGGAUGGUGUCCCCAGCCCCCCAGGAUACAUGUCAGAUCAAGAGGAGGACAUGUGCUUUGAAGGAGUGAAACCUGUAAACCAAACUGCAGCCUCAAACAAGGGACUCAGAGGUCUCCUCCACCCACAGCACUUGCAGUUGAUGAGCAGGCAGCUCGAUGACCCAAAUGGUAGCUUUUCAAAUGCUGAGAUAAGUGAACUGAGUGUGGUCCAGAAACCAGAAAAACUUUUGGAGCGUUGCAAGUACUGGCCUGCCUGUAAAAAUGGGGAUGAGUGUGCUUACCAUCAUCCUGUUUCACCUUGCAAAGCCUUCCCCAAUUGUAAAUUUGCUGAAAAAUGUUUGUUUGUUCAUCCAAAUUGUAAAUAUGAUGCAAAAUGUACUAAACCAGAUUGUCCCUUCACUCAUAUGAGUAGAAGAAUUCCAGUACUGCCUCCAAAACCAGCAGUUGCAACACCAGCCUCACCUUCUAGUAGUCAACUGUGCCGUUAUUUCCCUGCUUGUAAGAAAAUGGAGUGUCCCUUCUAUCAUCCAAAACACUGCAGAUUUAACACUCAGUGUACAAGACCUGACUGCACAUUUUAUCAUCCCACCAUUACUGUGCCACCACGACAUGCCUUGAAAUGGAUUCGACCUCAGACCAGUGAAUGACAGUCCUACUUGGCAGAAGAUUGUGGAGUUUCCAUCUACUGGCAAAAAUAUUCUGCAGAACUUGUCAAACCUUUGAAACUUGGAAUAUAUUGGUUUCAUAAUACGAAGUUUAUUGCCUAUCUGAAGUGUCUAAUUUUUCAAGUUUCUAUAGAGAUGACUUCCGAACAGAAAAGGAUCGACAGCUCAAAAAUGAAAACGUAGUGAUCAUAUAUUACUAACUUUGGAUUUGUUCCUGAAUGUAAAACUGCCAGGAAAAAAAAUGUCCUUUAUAAAAAGAGGUUUACUGAUGCUUAAGUAGCAUUAUCUUCUCCAGUAAAGCUCAUGUGUGUGUUUUCUUAGGGAAAAUAAUGUUUGCCUUUUAAAAACUGUGAUCCUCUAAGGUGAUGGUGUGUUUCCUUUCCUUAUGUAAACACAAGGAUAAAAUAAGUCAUUAAAUAAUGAACCUUGAAAAUAAAAUACAAAUUCUAAAAAAGAAAAACCGUUUUGCUAAAGAGAGGAAGAAAAUUAAGCAACUUGGGUUCUUAAGGUUUUGAUUUUUGAGAGGCGCUGUCCCCUAAGCCUUCCUAGCAGGUCUGCCAAGUUUGCACACUCCCCCAAACUGGGGGGCUGGCUUUCACCGAGUAUUUAUUCAAUCCUUUCUUAGAGUAAUUGUCUGGCAGUGUAUGGAUUAUGGACAGUUAUCCAGUGCAUACAGCAAAUAUUUUGAACUUAUCUGUCUUCUGUUUGGAUGACUCUGGGCAUUUAUCCCUGUUAACAAUCCUAAGUUAGCACCACUUGCCCACGCAAGGUUUGGUUCUGUUUUUGUUUUGUUGUUGUUAGUUUUUCCUCUUCUGUAAUUCUGGUCUCUUCUCAGCAUCCAUAUCUUUCAGUGAGGCAUAUGUACACAUUUCCAGACAAAUAAACUGCAAUCAGAGACCAAAAAAA